rnacentral:rRNA from 1 species
UGCCUAACAGCUAGCCCACCCAAACAAUUUCAACAAACCCCUGUUAAUAACCCCUAAGUACCCCAGUAUUUAUUUUAAAUAAACCAUUUUUCCCCCUUAGUAUAGGCGAUAGAAAAGGGCCCACGGCGCAAUAGAGAAAGUACCGCAAGGGAACGCUGAAAGAGAAGUGAAACAACCCAGUAAAGCCUAAAAAAGCAGAGAUCUAAACUCGUACCUUUUGCAUCAUGAUUUAGCAAGUGUAACCCAAGCAAAGCGUACUUUAGUUUGACGUCCCGAAACUAGGUGAGCUACUCCAAGACAGCCUAUCAAUAGGGCGUACCCGUCUCUGUGGCAAAAGAGUGGGGAGAGCUUUGAGUAGAGGUGACAAACCUACCGAACCUAGUUAUAGCUGGUUGUCCAAGAAAUGAAUAGAAGUUCAGCCUUUCAGCUUCUCUUUUCACCUUAGUCUGACCCCUAUUGAUGCAUUAAAGAAACCGAAAGAGUUAGUCAAAGGGGGUACAGCCCCUUUGAAUCAAGACACAACUUUACCAGGAGGGUAAAGAUCAUAAUAAUUAAAGCUAAAUGUUCUGGUGGGCCUAAAAGCAGCCAUCCCCUUAGAAAGCGUUAAAGCUCAGACAUGCGACCAUACUUCUUAUCCUGAUCACUUAAUCUUACCCCCCUAACCGUACUGGACCAUCCCAUGCCAACAUGGGAGUGACUAUGCUGAAAUGAGUAAUAAGAGAGCUACCGGCUCUCUCCCUGCACACGUGUAUAUCGGAACGGACAACCCACCGAACCUUAACGGCCCCAAAUAAAGAGGGCAGUGGAUGUUAGACCAAAAAACUAGAAAAAUAUCCAAAAACCAACCGUUAAACCCACACAGGUGUGCCCCCAGGGAAAGACUAAA